rnacentral:rRNA from 1 species
AUGCAACAAGCUAAACACCGACGAGCCCAACACCGACGGCAAGCUAAAGGCCAUCGAUUUGCGAGCCUGGAAGACGACGACGAUAGCUCCACAAGGAAUACGAUCGCGGCGGCGUCUUCUUUGCUGUUUCUCUGGUGGAAGACCCGUGCCUGCGGCACCGCGGCUGGGCUGUCCACGGCACAAGUGGGUCGCGCCUGCUCACUUGGCAGCAGCGGUGGUGGCUACAUGUUUUCUCCACUACUGCAGAUCAUCUCCAGGUCCUACUGCCUGGGUCUGAACCUCUCUUCUCUACUCUAUGUUUACUGA